CAUGAAAACUAAAUACAAGCACAGACUGUGUGUGGAAAAUGAUUUAAGACUGAGACUCUCUCCAAUACAACCCGAUAUUGUAGAGUUCUGUGUGCAUUCUUUCAAGAACACCCUUCUCAUUAACCUGUGGUGAGUUAUUCACAAUUUUGAUUAACAAAUGUUUUAUAUGUAAGAUGGCUAACUAAAGAGCAAAAUUAUUGAUUAUUAUUAUAUUAUUAUUUGUGCCCUGGUCCUAUAAGAGCUCUUUGUCACUUCCCACGAACUCACACUUAUUCUUAUGUUUAAUAAAUUUAUCGUUGUCUAGCGACCCGCACAGACAGCUAGCUAUGUGUUAUGUGUUAGGCUAUUAGUUGGUUGUGUUGUACUUACCAGUACCCAGUGUUCGCAGAGUCUGACAUGCCAAUCAACCUUCUAUCUGCCAAUCACGGGAAUGCCUGGAAUGUUCUGAUGCCGGGUGGUCCUGGUGGUUGGCGGAGUGGCGUGGAGGGGGGAUGGGCAGGGGGAUGGAGCAUUGGAAGUUAAGACCAGGUUUAGCCAUUGUUCUCUCUCUUACGGGGGUACGCAGCUGGAGGUUGAAUGUUUGAAGGGGUACGGGACUAUAAAAUGUUUGGGAACCACUGAUUUAGUGGAAAACCAGUGUAGCUAGAUUGAAGAUAAUUGACCAAUUUUGACUUUGUGGCUGUGGUAACUAGUGACAACCCAACAGAUUCGGUGAAUUUGAGACUGGAUGCAGAUUCGAUAACAGUUACGGACAAGAUUGAAGAUUUGAGCAACAAUGUCUUCUGAACAGGAUUCCAGUUUUGAAGAGCCUCAUAUCAUCCAGGGGCACAGGCAUGGCUGCUGAAAGAAUUGGACAGGAAGACCAUGAAAGGGCUGCCCGACUGUAAGAAGAGAGGCUGGCCGAGAUGGCUAACUUGCAAGAGCUGUCCUUUGAAGAAAGGGGAGAGGUGCUGGAGCUGUCCGCUACCCGCCUACAUGAAGUGAUUUUUGGCAUCAUGGAGUACCGGAGAGCUGUCCCAGGGUCUCUGGCCAACAGAGACUACCUUGUAUCCUUGUUUAUCUGCCUAAUAAAACUAAUAAAACUA